CCCAGCGCGUUGCCAUAGGAACCGGUGGGCCAGAUUGCGUCACUUCCGGCCGGGCCGUGUUGCCGAAACCAAAAGUGCGGGACGGGAGACGCCGGGGCACUCCGUGGUCCACGCAGCUGAAAGUCAUGAUUGUGGGGCACAGCCCACGCCGCCCGGAUACCGGCCGCAUCGCCCCAUCUCUCCGGAAGUGACGUAGCGCCGGUCCGUCCAGCUGACGCUCUGACGCUGUAGACAAGGUUGCCAUAGUUACUAAUAAACAGUGAUAUCAAGUGAUUCAAAAAGA